AGUGAACGCUGGCGGUAGGCCUAACACAUGCAAGUCGAACGGCAGCACAGUAAGAGCUUGCUCUUACGGGUGGCGAGUGGCGGACGGGUGAGGAAUACAUCGGAAUCUACUUUUUCGUGGAGGAUAACGUAGGGAAACUUACGCUAAUACCGCAUACGACCUACGGGUUAAAGCAGGGGAUCUUCGGACCUUUCGCGAUUGAAUGAGCCGAUGUCGGAUUAGCUAGUUGGCGGGGUAAAGGCCCACCAAGGCGACGAUCCGUAGCUGGUCUGAGAGGAUGAUCAGCCACACUGGAACUGAGACACGGUCCAGACUCCUACGGGAGGCAGCAGUGGGGAAUAUUGGACAAUGGGCGCAAGCCUGAUCCAGCCAUACCGCGUGGGUGAAGAAGGCCUUCGGGUUGUAAAGCCCUUUUGUUGGGAAAGAAAAGCAGCAGGUUAAUACCCCGCUGUUCUGACGGUACCCAAAGAAUAAGCACCGGCUAACUUCGUG
rnacentral:rRNA from 1 species